CUUUACUUCCUGUUUUCACGAACACGUUGCGGUCUUUUUGCACUCUUGAACACGAGCUAGAGAGUCUGUGAGACUAGGUCUCUUGCGGUGCUCUUGCUGAAACCUCUUCUUGUGGAAAGGAAUACGAGCUAGAGAGGCUGUGUGACUAGGUCCCUUGCGGUGCUCGUGCUGAAACCUCAACUUGGCUAGGUUUUUUCUGAUGGUUAAGAAAGCUGCGAAUCGGAUUCCUGGAUACCUGAUGUUCUCUGGAAGGGGAUGGCGAGCCUGUACCCAGAACUGAACCGAACUCUCAUCUGAAGAUCCCUCUUCAGAAGAUCCUCAUCCUCACGUGUUAACAAAGUGGUAACAACUCACACUGACGGAGAGGAAAAGAACUAAACUAUAAAAGGCCUUGACUGACUAAAAAAAAAAACCAAACAAACACUGAGCUCAGGGACUGGGGUUUUGUUUUCUGUUGCCGGCUUAUUGUUAUUGAAAUUGUAAAUGUUCUAUAUUUUUUCUAUUUUGCUUAUCAAUACAAUUAUUAUUGUUGCGCA